AGCAUAUCAAUAAGCGGAGGAAAAGAAACCAACAGGGAUUGCCCCAGUAACGGCGAGUGAAGCGGCAACAGCUCAAAUUUGAAAUCUGGCCCCUCGGGGUCCGAGUUGUAAUUUGUAGAGGAUGCUUUUGGUGAGGUGCCGCCCGAGUUCCCUGGAACGGGACGCCACAGAGGGUGAGAGCCCCGUCUGGCUGGCCACCGAGCCUCUGUAAAGCUCCUUCGACGAGUCGAGUAGUUUGGGAAUGCUGCUCAAAAUGGGAGGUAUAUGUCUUCUAAAGCUAAAUAUUGGCCAGAGACCGAUAGCGCACAAGUAGAGUGAUCGAAAGAUGAAAAGCACCUUGAAAAGAGGGUUAAAUAGUACGUGAAAUUGUUGAAAGGGAAGCGCUUGUGACCAGACUUGGGCGCGGCGGAUCAUCCGGGGUUCUCUCCGGUGCACUUCGCCGCGUCUAGGCCAGCAUCAGUUCGUCGCGGGGGAAAAAGGCUUCGGGAACGUGGCUCCUCCGGGAGUGUUAUAGCCCGUUGCAUAAUACCCUGCGGUGGACUGAGGACCGCGCAUCUGCAAGGAUGCUGGCGUAAUGGUCACCAGCGACC
rnacentral:rRNA from 1 species